GACGAACGCUGGCGGCGUGCUUAACACAUGCAAGUCGAGCGGUAAGGCCCUUUCGGGGGUACACGAGCGGCGAACGGGUGAGUAACACGUGGGUGACCUGCCCUCAGCUCUGGGAUAAGCCUGGGAAACUGGGUCUAAUACUGGAUAUGACUCCACGGUGCAUGUCGUGGGGUGGAAAGCCUUGUGCGGCUGAGGGUGGGCCCGCGGCCUAUCAGCUUGUUGGUGGGGUGAGGCCUACCAAGGCGACGACGGGUAGCCGGCCUGAGAGGGCGACCGGCCACACUGGGACUGAGAUACGGCCCAGACUCCUACGGGAGGCAGCAGUGGGGAAUCUUGCGCAAUGGGCGAAAGCCUGACGCAGCGACGCCGCGUGA
rnacentral:rRNA from 1 species